UACGUAGGGUGCAAGCGUUAAUCGGAAUUACUGGGCGUAAAGCGUGCGCAGGCGGUUAUGUAAGACAGUUGUGAAAUCCCCGGUCUCAACCUGGGAACUGCAUCUGUGACUGCAUAGCUAGAGUACGGUAGAGGGGGAUGGAAUUCCGCGUGUAGCAGUGAAAUGCGUAGAUAUGCGGAGGAACACCGAUGGCGAAGGCAAUCCCCUGGACCUGUACUGACGCUCAUGCACGAAAGCGUGGGGAGCAAACAGG
rnacentral:rRNA from 1 species